GAUGAACGCUGGCGGCGUGCCUAAUACAUGCAAGUCGAGCGAACAGAUGAGAAGCUUGCUUCUCUGAUGUUAGCGGCGGACGGGUGAGUAACACGUGGGUAACCUACCUAUAAGACUGGGAUAACUCCGGGAAACCGGGGCUAAUACCGGAUAAUAUUUUGAACCGCAUGGUUCAAUAGUGAAAGACGGUUUCGGCUGUCACUUAUAGAUGGAUCCGCGCCGUAUUUGCUAGUUGGUAAGGUAACGGCUUACCAAGGCGACGAUACGUAGCCGACCUGAGAGGGUGAUCGGCCACACUGGAACUGAGACACGGUCCAGACUCCUACGGGAGGCAGCAGUAGGGAAUCUUCCGCAAUGGGCGAAAGCCUGACGGAGCAACGCCGCGUGAGUGAUGAAGGUCUUCGGAUCGUAAAACUCUGUUGUUAGGGAAGAACAAAUUUGUUAGUAACUGAACAAGUCUUGACGGUACCUAACCAGAAAGCCACGGCUAACUACGUGCCAGCCGCCGCAGUAA
rnacentral:rRNA from 1 species